AGUGAACGCUGGCGGUAGGCCUAACACAUGCAAGUCGAACGGCCGCACAGUAAGAGCUUGCUCUUACGGGUGGCGAGUGGCGGACGGGUGAGGAAUACAUCGGAAUCUACUUUUUCGUGGGGGAUAACGUAGGGUAACUUACGCUAAUACCGCAUACGACCUACGGGUGAAAGCAGGGGAUCUUCGGACCUUGCGCGAUUGAAUGAGCCGAUGUCGGAUUAGCUAGUUGGCGGGGUAAAGGCCCACCAAGGCGACGAUCCGUAGCUGGUCUGAGAGGAUGAUCAGCCACACUGGAACUGAGACACGGUCCAGACUCCUGCGGGAGGCAGCAGUGGGGAAUAUUGGACAAUGGGCGCAAGCCUGAUCCAGCCAUACCGCGUGGGUGAAGAAGGCCUUCGGGUUGUAAAGCCCUUUUGUUGGAAAAGAAAAGCAGCAGGUUAAUACCCCGCUGUUCUGACGGUACCCAAAGAAUAAGCACCGGCUAACUUCGUG
rnacentral:rRNA from 1 species